AGUAACUAUCGUGUAAGUAUCUAUAUGUGCUCAUCUAUAAAACUGGAUUCUGGCUAAUGAAAGCUGAACCCAGCCAUCGCCGACCUCUAGUAGUAUAUUCAUAGAGGUCAGUGCCAGCCAUUCAUAGGAAUGGCAAUAAUAAAUAAAACAUCAUUAUGACAAUAUCAAUCAAUCUGUUGGGUCUAGCAAACAUUGUAAUUUGUUUACAUUGAGUUUCUUGAAUAAUUCUAAGCGAACAUAACGUAGUGUUUACAUUCUCUGUGGCGAACACGGAUAAACGAUAAAAAGUGGCGUGCGGCGAGUGUUAUUUAAUAUGAUGAGUAAAUUUAAGCAAGAACGAGAAGAGAAGGAAGCGAUGUUGUGGCAAAAUAAUAAAUGUUCAGGCGUCUUGACUGAAUUCGUAGCAGCUCAAAUGGAAACAGUCAUAAAAGAUGCUUUUGAAAGUAUAACACCAGGAUAUUGUAAGACAAAGACAGAGCAUAUUCUUCAUGUUGAAGUUUAUUACAAAACGAGGGAUGGAAUAAUAGAAGAGCUUGAACUAUGUUCACAAGUGUGCAGGAUGAUAAUUCCAGUAUUAGACGAAUACAUGGAAAUAGAAAUUUUAGAAUCAGCUUUUGAUUAUAAUGAAUAAAGUCUGUUUAUCUUC